GGCCCUUCUCUCCAUCUCUCUUAAAAAGCACCCCCUCUUAUUGUGGCUCUCUCUCUCUCUCUCUCUCUCUCUCUGCGUUGCGAUCCUCACACCACAAUCUCAUCCUCUCACAGCUUCGUCCUCUUCUUCUCGAUCCCCAACUGGUAAUCAUGAGUGACCAGGGAGAAAAGACUUGUCCUCUUUGCGCGGAGGAGAUGGAUUUGACAGAUCAGCAAUUGAAGCCAUGUAAAUGCGGUUAUGAGAUAUGUGUUUGGUGUUGGCACCACAUAAUGGACAUGGCUGAGAAGGAUGAGACAGAGGGGCGGUGUCCUGCAUGCCGCACUCCUUAUGAUAAGGAAAAGAUUGUAGGGACGGCUGGAAAGUGCGAGAGAUUGGUGGCUGAAAUCAAUACCGAGAAAAAGAUGAAGUCUCAGAAGGCAAAGGUUAAAUCGACUGAAGGACGGAAGCAGCUCAGCAGUGUGCGAGUGAUUCAAAGGAACCUUGUUUACAUAGUUGGGUUGCCUCUUAAUCUGGCAGAUGAAGAUCUUCUGCAGCGCAGAGAAUAUUUUGGUCAGUAUGGGAAGGUUUUAAAAGUUUCUAUGUCCCGAACUGCAGCUGGUAUCAUUCAGCAAUUUCCAAACAAUACAUGUAGUGUAUAUAUUACUUACUCGAAAGAAGAGGAAGCGGUUCGUUGUAUUCAAAAUGUACAUGGGUUCCUCUUGGAUGGUAGAUCGCUGAGGGCAUGCUUCGGGACCACAAAGUAUUGUCAUGCAUGGCUGAGAAAUGUGCCUUGCACCAAUCCUGAUUGUUUGUAUCUGCAUGAGGUUGGGUCUCAGGAGGACAGUUUCACUAAAGAUGAAAUAAUUUCUGCAUACACUAGGAGUAGGGUACAACAAAUUACCGGUACUGCAAACAGUAUGCAACGGCGUUCAGGGAGUGUUUUGCCUCCACCACUAGAUGAUUAUUGUAACAGCAGUUCAACUUCUGCUGGAGGACCAAUUAUUAAAAAUGGUUCUAGUAAUACUGGAAGCCUUCUUAGAGGUUCUCCUCCAAAUGGAAGCUCUGGUAGAUCUAUUGCUCUUCCAGCUGCAGCCUCAUGGGGAACACGUGGUUCAAAUUGCCAACCACCAGCUACAAAUAUAAUAAAUUCGAAUGGACAUACUAAACAGAAACCUGAUGUCAAUUGCACAUUGCCAUUUUCUUCAGCAGCGGUUGCUACUACUCAGGCUUCUAUACUGCAUAGUGAUGCAGGAAAGAGGUCAGCAUUAAAUGAUGAAAGUCAGACUAUGCAUGCUAAAGGUAAACCAGAAUCAUUGAAGAUUGUGAGACAGAAUAGUGGCGUGGAUUGUCAGAAUGACCUGUCUGACGAACCUGCUGCACCCGAUGAAGCUCCUGCUUCUGUGAAUGGGAGCAGCCCUUUAUCUUCCCCCCAAACAACCAAGGAUAAUGAUAGAGGCAGCAGCAUGCAGCCAAACAUCAGCAAUGCCACCAACCAUAGUCAUCUAUCUUACAGUUCCUGUCAUGAAAAAGAAAACCUUGUUUCCACUGAAGAAGUGGUCCAAAGCAUAUGCUCUGAUAUGCCUUUGAUGGGCAUUGAUAGAAAUUCCAUGGUAGAACAUUCUGGUGUAGUCAGAUCUAAUAGUUCACUUUCUGAUAAUUCUGUGAUUAAAUCGCCUCGGAACCAAGGGUUACAGCAAUAUUGUGCUGAGCAGUCCAGAGAACCUCCAAUAACUGCUGUGACAGCUGUUAAUGCAGUGUGUGUUACAAGGGAACAAUCCAACUGGAUAUCAGAGUCACAAGCACAACUAGUACCAAAUGCAUCUUCUGAGGUGGAAGAGGAUGUACUAUCUUUCGACAAUCAGAGACUCAAGGAUCCAGAAGUCAGUCGUUCAACAUAUUUGCCUAGUUUGGCUAAUGCGGUCCAUGUUUCAAAUCAUUCUAGGUCUCCGUUGCUGCAUAGUGAAGCUUAUGGUGCAGUUUAUUCAAAUGUUGAUCGUCCAUUUGUUGAUAACAAAAUGAGGGACAAUUCACUUCUAUCUUCGUCCAGUAUUUCAGUAACAUCUAAUGGUUACCCUGAGAACUUGGUAAGCAGAUCUUCUGGUUCAGAGAGGCCGUUGGAGCAUUCCUUUCUGCUUCCAAAUGAAGGCCCAGGGAAGCACAGUGGAAGAUUCCUGGAUGAUGCAGCUAAUGCGGAUUUCAGUGCUGCUGUUGACAAGGGAGAGAGUAGCAUAAUCUCAAAUAUAUUAUCAAUGGACUUUGACACUUGGGAUGACUCAAUAGCGUCACCACAGCAUUUUUCGAAAUUAUUGGGUGAAACUGAUAGACAGCCUGGAGCUCUCAAAAUGUCAAGUCCUUGGAAAGUACAAAAUAACAAUCAGUCCAGAUUCUCUUUUGCAAGACAGGAGGAUUCUAAAAAUCAAGCAUUCGAUGUACAGUCAUCUCCGAAUGUCAUUGGGCAGUUUUCUAAUAACCAAUCAUUCCACCAUGGUUUUUCUGAAAAUAGAGAUUUAGGUUUGGAGAAUCUUGAGAAUCUUGGAAUUGGAAACGGUUUUUCAUCUAGCUCUUAUGAAGAACCUGAAAAUCAUGGCAGCAAUCAUUUAGCUUUUUCUUCUAACAAGCUUUCUGUGGUUUCAAGGGCUCAAAUUUCUGCUCCUCCUGGAUUCUCUGUGCCAAGCAGGGCACCACCACCAGGCUUUACUUCUCAUGAGAGAGUGGAUCAGGAGUUUGACUCUCUGGCUGGGAAUCAUUUGUAUGAUACUUCCUCUUUGUUGAGAAAUGCAUAUCAACCUCAGGCAACUGGUAAUAUUGGUAGCUCUGGGGACAUUGAGUUUAUGGAUCCUGCUAUAUUGGCGGUCGGUAAAGGGCGACUGCAAGGUGGGCUUAACAACCCCGGCCUUGAAAUGAGAUCAAACUUCCCUUCGCAGUUAAGUGCCUAUGAAAAUGAUGCAAGGCUUCAACUGUUGAUGCAAAGAUCCCUCACCCCACAACAAAACGUUAGAUUUCCUGAUUUCGGCGAUGGUUUUUCUCACGUCAAUGAUUCUUAUGGAAUUUCUUCGAUGCUUUUGGAUCAAUCUCAGACUAGCAGCAAUCUAUCCCCUUUUUCUCAAUUGUCCCUCCAACAACAGUCUAGAAACCGGGUCAUGUCAAAUGGACACUGGGAUGGGUGGAAUGAGGCUCAGGGUGGAAGCACUCUGGGUAUGGCAGAGCUCUUGAGAAAUGAUAGACUAGGGUUCAACAAGUAUUAUUCUGGUUAUGAAGAUUCAAAGUUUCGGAUGCCCAGUUCUGGUGAUCUGUAUAACAGAACAUUUGGGAUGUAAUAUUGCAAAAUGAUAGCUUUGCAUGGUUGGGAAUGUUCAAAAGGAAUCGAGGGCUGUGUGGUUGUGUGACCUUGUACUCAAGUAUGGGACUGACUCAUAACUGGUCUUUGCCUCGGCAGCCUUAUGUAGGGUCAAACUCCUGUAACUUUUGGGGUCUGUAAUCCUGCAGGUGGGGGUGAUAAAUGCUUGAUGUGAAGCUUGUAUUGCGGGUUGCUGUAUAUGGUCAAUUCGGACCGGCUGAUCAUCCAGAUGAUGAGUAUUCAACUCCCUGCUGUACGGAUAUUUGAUUGUUGCUCUCACAACUAAAUGGAUGAAAUCUGACCCUUUUGGGGAGUUUUAUACUGCGCUAACUGUUUAACAUGACAAAAUGGAUAUUAAUGAAUUUACAACUUUUUUUUCCUUCUAAGUUUCUAUUUGUAUUGUGUUUGCAAAGUUCAGAACAGAGAAGUGAUUGGAAUUAAAAAGUAUUUCGUGCAAUUAUUUUAUGAGUGUGGGGUGUGGGGUGUGUGCUGUAACUAGGUGGGAUGGUAAUGUUUUGUAUUUUCUAAAAAAAGAAAAGAGGAAGAAAAAGCUAGAAGCUAUUAUUUUGAAGAGAAUUGUUUAUCUAUCAGUGUCUGCUAUUGUUUUUGUGUAAAGGAGGGCAUGAUGUGGGUUUUGAUCUGUAGAGGCUGGUGUGCUACGAGGGAUUUGUUAUUUAUUUUCGUGCCUUUCGGAUUAUGUUGGAUCAUUAUUGUAGAAAUAAAAUAAAUAAAUAGAUAUCAGCUUGAUGUUAAAACAAA